GCCGGGCAUGGUGACAUGUGCCUGUAGCCCCAGCUACUCUGGAGGCUGAGGUGGGAGGAUCACUUGAGCCUGGGAGUUCAAGGCUGCAGUGAGCCAUGAUCGUGCCACUGCACUCCAGCCUAGGCAACAGAGUGAGACCCUGUCUCGA
rnacentral:SRP_RNA from 1 species